rnacentral:rRNA from 1 species
UGGGGGAUAUUGCACAAUGGGGGGAACCCUGAUGCAGCGACGCCGCGUGAGCGAAGAAGUAUUUCGGUAUGUAAAGCUCUAUCAGCAGGGAAGAAAGUGACGGUACCUGAGUAAGAAGCUCCGGCUAAAUACGUGCCAGCAGCCGCGGUAAUACGUAUGGAGCGAGCGUUAUCCGGAUUCACUGGGCGUAAAGGGAGCGCAGGCGGCCCGCCAAGUCUGAUGUGAAAUACCGGGGCUCAACCCCGGGGCUGCAUUGGAAACUGGCGGGCUGGAGUGUCGGAGAGGCAGGCGGAAUUCCUAGUGUAGCGGUGAAAUGCGUAGAUAUUAGGAGGAACACCAGUGGCGAAGGCGGCCUGCUGGACGACGACUGACGCUGAGGCUCGAAAGCGUGGGGAGCAAACAGG